UUUCAUCUUUAAGAUCACUGGGAAGGGGCUGGAGAACAUGAAUAAACUUGACCUACUUUGCUACAGAAAUAAUGAGAUGGAGAGACGAGAGACAGACUAAUGCCUUUUUGCUCCCAGAGAUUUAGGAAUUUCGCUGUGUUCUUAGAUCUGCCCCCUUCACCCCAGGUGGAUGGUCUUAGUCUUUCUGGAAUGCUCUUUUUGGCCCUGAUGAAAAGUAGCUGACUGGAAGAGCAGCAGCAGAUGAACACUUAGUUUCACAACUGAUAACAUAGGUCUGAGGUGAGGCUGAGAGCCUGCAUUCCUAACAAGCUUCCAGGAUGAUGGUGAUGCUGCUGACACCUGGACCACACUGAACAGCGAGGCGAUAUUUGAAGCCCAAGGCCACCAGCAAAGAGGCCGAGAGCCUUCUGCUGGGUUGGGGAGCCCAGUGAAGCACGUGCUGUCAUCUCCAGGAGAAACAGAGUGAGAAAUCUUCCAAAGCUGGGCCAGAACCAGUCCCAGGAGGGUCAGAGUUUCAUAUGCUGAGGCACUCCCAGUAACAACAACUUUCUUAUUGAGUGUACCCCAUCUAGCGCUAAACACCUUCUAUGUACUAUCUGCUUUACUUGUCCCCAAGUGCCGUAAGAUAGUAUAAUUACUCCAAUUUUUCAUAUGAUUAAUUGGAAGCAUGAGGUGCAAAUAAACUUUUUUAACUGAAGUACAGUCAAUUACAAUGUGUCAAUCUCUCUGUACAGCACGAU